rnacentral:rRNA from 1 species
UACAGAGGUCUCAAGCGUUGUUCGGAUUCAUUGGGCGUAAAGGGUGCGUAGGUGGGUCUGUAAGUCAGUGGUGAAAUCUCCGUGCUUAACAUGGAAACUGCCAUUGAUACUAUAGGUCUUGAAUUUUCUGGAGGUAAGCGGAAUAUGUCAUGUAGCGGUGAAAUGCUUAGAUAUGACAUAGAACACCAAUUGCGAAGGCAGCUUGCUACAGGGAUAUUGACACUGAGGCACGAAAGCGUGGGGAUCAAACAGG